rfam:Arthrobacter sp. YC-RL1 contig_48, whole genome shotgun sequence.
UGGGAUGGCCAGACGGUCGCGUGGCAAGCAAUUGUCCCGAGGAACGUCCGGGCUCCACAGAACAGGGUGGUGGGUAACGCCCACUCGGGGUAACCCGCAGGCCAGUGCCACAGAAAAUAGACCGCCAGGUUCUCCUGGUAAGGGUGAAACGGUGGUGUAAGAGACCACCAGCAUCCCGGGUGACCGGGAUGGCUCGGUAAACCCCACUCGGAGCAAGGUCAGACAGACUGCGUUACGAGGGCUGUUCGCCCCAUGCAGUCGGGUGGACCGCUAGAGGCUGUCGGCAACGGCAGUCGUAGAUAGAUGACCGUCACCGCUUCGGCGGGACAAAACCCGGCGUAUCGGCCAUCCCAUUCG